rnacentral:rRNA from 1 species
AGAGUUUGAUCAUGGCUCAGAAUCAACGCUGGCGGCGUGCCUCAGACAUGCAAGUCGAACGAUUAAAGCUCCCUUCGGGGAGUGUAUAGAGUGGCGCACGGGUGAGUAACACGUAAGUAAUCUACCUUUGAGUGGGGAAUAACAGUCGGAAACGACUGCUAAUACCGCAUAAUGCAGCGGCACCGCAAGGUGACAGUUGUUAAAGGAGCAAUUCGCUUGAAGAGGAGCUUGCGGCAGAUUAGCUUGUUGGUAAGGUAACGGCUUACCAAGGCUACGAUCUGUAUCCGGUCUAAGAGGACGGUCGGACACACUGACACUGAAUAACGGGUCAGACUCCUACGGGAGGCAGCAGUCGGGAAUUUUGGGCAAUGGGCGAAAGCCUGACCCAGCAACGCCGCGUGAAGGAUGAAGUAUUUCGGUAUGUAAACUUCGAAAGAAUAGGAAGAAUAAAUGACGGUACUAUUUAUAAGGUCCGGCUAACUACGUGCCAGCAGCCGCGGUAAUACGUAGGGACCAAGCGUUGUUCGGAUUUACUGGGCGUAAAGGGCGCGUAGGCGGCGCUGUAAGUCACUUGUGAAAUCUCCGGGCUUAACUCGGAACGGUCAAGUGAUACUGCAGUGCUAGAGUGCGGAAGGGGCAAUCGGAAUUCUUGGUGUAGCGGUGAAAUGCAGAUAUCAAGAGGAACACCUGAGGUGAAGACGGGUUGCUGGGCCGACACUGACGCUGACAGCGCGAAAGCCAGGGGAGCAAACGGGAUUAGAUACCCUAGUAGUCC